UACAAAGAUACAUAAAAUUAGACAUUAAAAUCAAAGGAAAGAAAACACCUAAAAUGCUCCAACUUGGAAAGCAAGUGCAUCAAUGGAUCUCCCUUCCUCCUUGUUGCGGCAUGAAGCUUGUGGACAGAUUUUUGGGUGGAUUUAUGGUGUAGAAUGGAUGGGGAAUGAUAUGGAGGGGUUUAGGGUGAGUGUGGAAGAGUGUUUGAUGGUUGGAAGGUGGUGGAGGACUAGGCAAAGAGGGUGGAAGAAGGUGGAGUGGCUGUUAUGUUUUCUAGGCACUAGAAUGGUGUUUUUGGGGUGUUUUGCUUCCUAGGGUGUGUAUGGACGAAUUUCUGUGAUAAAAUGAUGAAUAUGGGGGAUUAUACUUUGGCCAAGGGGUGUAAACAUGUAUUUAUAGGCCCCAAAAACCUUAGAAAAUCAGGUUAGGCUAGGGAUGAAAUGCAUGGCAAGUUGGUGUGUGUGGUGUGCAAUGGUCCAAGGGUGAAAAUGAAGUGAUGAUGCAAAGUGUGAAGGGUAAAAUGGAGUGGUGUGUUGCAGCUAGGGAGCAUGAAUGAUUGUGUACAUUGCAUAGAGAUGGAAAGGGAGGUGAAAUGUGUCAACAAAUGGGUCAAGGGUGCAACAACAUGUGUGACACAUGCCAUUGGAUUCCAAAUGUGAAUGAUGGAGCAUCAAUUGGUGCAUGUAA
rnacentral:lncRNA from 1 species